GCCAAAGCAACGAUACAGAUACAGAUAUAGGUAUAGGUAUAGGUAUAGGUAUAGAAACUGAUAUGAGUGCAUAUACCCAAACAGAAAAGCAACAGACAGACAGAUACUUAAGUAUAUACUUCAGUUGAAGGGCCAGAAUCGCUGGACCGUUGGCACUUGGGCAACUCAGUGUGUGGAACGGAAUCGGAGACGAAGACGCAUCCAGAGGUGGUGGCAACGAAAUGUGGAAUAAGGCGACACAGUGUUUGUGCCUGGAGUCAGGUUUGUAACUACUGCAUCAAGUUGCAGGUUAUUAACAGCCAUUCUUUCGGUUGCUUUUCUUUGUGCACUCAAAUUGAACGUCGACAGCUAUAACAACUAAUUCUACAAGAAAAAACGAAGUUUGACAAUGUUGCUGCAUUGUUGUAGACUCCUCGGCAUGAUAAAGGUUCUGACAUGCCAGCACCACCUUUUACAGCAGCAGCAAUAGCACCACCGCCACCACCAACGCCAACAGUCGCUAAGUCAGCGGCGCGUAACCACAACAAACUCGAACUCAAAACUCGGACCCGCAUUCGAACUGGGCCCAAAGUCUGGAACUGAAAACUGUUGCCACUGCCAAGUUGAACGAACAUUAACAUGCCAUUUAGCCCAAACUGCACUUGAGCUUGCCGGCAAAAUUAAAGUGUUUUUUUUUUUGUUUGUUUGUUGCUUUGGUAAUAAACCGAACCGAACUUUUUGCCCAA